AUACGUAGGGGGCAAGCGUUAUCCGGAUUUACUGGGUGUAAAGGGAGCGUAGACGGAAGGCCAAGUCUGAUGUGAAAGCCCGCGGCUCAACUGCGGGACUGCAUUGGAAACUGGUCAUCUGGAGUGCAGGAGGGGUAAGCGGAAUUCCUAGUGUAGCGGUGAAAUGCGUAGAUAUUAGGAGGAAUACCGGUGGCGAAGGCGACUUUCUGGACAUGUACUGACGCUGAGGUACGAAAGCGUGGGGAGCAAACAGGAUUAGAUACCCUGGUAGUCCACGCCGUAAACGAUGAGUGCUAGGUGUUGGGGGUCAAACCUCGGUGCCGCAGUUAACACAUUAAGCACUCCGCCUGGGGAGUACGUGCGCAAGCAUGAAACUCAAAUGAAUUGACGGGG
rnacentral:rRNA from 1 species